rnacentral:miRNA from 2 species
UGCCAAAGGUGAUUUGCCCGG